CCUACGGGCGGCAGCAGUGAGGAAUAUUGGUCAAUGGACGAGAGUCUGAACCAGCCAAGUAGCGUGAAGGAUGACUGCUCUCUGGAUUGUAAACUUCUUUUAUAAAGGAGUAGAACUAGGCGCGUGUGCCUUUUUGCAUGUACUUUAUGAAUAGGGAUCGGCUAACUCCGUGCCAGCAGCCGCGGUAAUACGGAGGAUCCGAGCGUUAUCCGGAUGUAUUGGGUUUAAAGGGAGCGUAGAUGGGUUGUUAAGUCAGUUGGGAACGUCUGCGGCUCAACCGUAAGAUUGCAAUGGAUACUGGCAGUCUUGAGUACAGGUGAGGUAGGCGGAAUUCGUGGUGGAGCGGUGAAAUGCGUAGAUAUCACGAAGAACCCCGAUGGCGAAGGCAGCUUACUGAACUGUGACUGACAUUGAGGCUCGAAAGUGUGGGUAGCAAACAGGAGUAGAUACCCCUGUAGUC
rnacentral:rRNA from 1 species